rnacentral:rRNA from 1 species
GACGAACGCUGGCGGCGUGCUUAACACAUGCAAGUCGAGCGGAGCGGCGAACGGGUGAGUAACGCGAGAGUAACUGCCCCCCUCUCUGGGAUAACAGUUGGAAACGGCUGCUAAUACCGGACAGUGGGGGAUGACUCGCGUCCUAUCAGCUUGUUGGUGGGGUAGUGGUCUACCAAGGCGACGACGGAUAGCCGGCCUGAGAGGGCGACCGGCGACAAUGGGCUGAGAUACGGCCCAAACUGCUACGGGAGGCAGCAGUGGAAAAUCUUACACAAUAGGGGCAACCCAGAUACAGCAGCGCCGCGUGCGGAAUGCCGGCCUUCGAGUUGUAAACCGCUUUGAGCCAUGACGCGGUAGUGGAAGAGGAAGCACCGGCUAACUACGUGCCAGCAGCCGCGGUAAUUC